rnacentral:rRNA from 1 species
AUAAAGUUUAAUUCUAGUUUAAAGAUUUAUUUAAUUUUUUUUUUACAUGUAAAUUUUUGUAGGAUAUUAGUUAAAUUUUAAAAAUUUAAUUAGAAUGAUUUAUUCGCAGUAUUUAAUUUUAAUAAUUUAAGAAAUUAAGAAUUAGAAAUAAAUUUUAAUAUUAACAAAUUUUGUGCCAGCAGUUGCGGUUAUACAAAAGAUAUAAAUGAAUUUUAUUAGUAAAUAAUUAUAUGAAUUAUUGAUAAGUUAAAAUAGUAUUUAUUAGGUGAAAUUUUAAGUAUUAAAUUAAUUUAUAAAAAAGUUUUUAUUAUUAUGAAAUUUAUAUUUAAACUAGGAUUAGAUACCCUAUUAUUUUAAAUGUAAAAAGUUUUACUGAAGUAGUAUUAGUUAUGUUCUUGAAAUUUAAAGAUUUUGGCGGUAUUUUAGUCUAUUUAGAGGAACCUGUUCUGUAAUUGAUAAUCCACGAUUAACUUUACUUAUUUUAUAAAUUUGUAUACCGUCGUUAUUAGAAAAUUUUAGCAGAAAAUAAAUUUUUAAUAUUUUAAAUUAAAAAAUAUAUCAGAUCAAGGUGCAGUAUAUAUUUAAGAAGAAAUGGGUUACAAUAAAUUUAUUUAUACGGAUUGAAGGAAGAAUAAACUUUAUGAAGGUGGAUUUAAUAGUAAUAAAAUUUAAUUAAAUUUUAUGAUUUUGGCUCUAAAAUAUGUACAUAUCGCCCGUCGCUCUUAUUAUAAGGUAAGAUAAGUCGUAACAUAGUAGAUGUACUGGAAAGUGUAUCUAGAAUGAA